CACGUAGGGUGCGAGCGUUGUCCGGAAUUAUUGGGCGUAAAGAGCUCGUAGGCGGUGUGUCGCGUCGGCCGUGAAAACCUGCAGCUUAACUGUGGGCUUGCAGUGGAUACGGGCAGACUAGAGGCAGGUAGGGGAGAAUGGAAUUCCCGGUGUAGCGGUGAAAUGCGCAGAUAUCGGGAGGAACGACCGGUGGCGAAGGCGGUUCUCUGGGCCUGACCUGCGCUGAGGAGCGAAAGCGUGGGGAGCGAACAGG
rnacentral:rRNA from 1 species